GUGUCAGCAGCCGCGGUAAUACGAAGGGUGCGAGCGUUAUUCGGAAUCAUUGGGCGUAAAGGGUGUGUAGACGGCUUAUUAAGUCAACUGUUAAAUUCUCCGGCCUAACCGGAGGUCAGCAGCAGAAACUGAUGGGCUAGAGGGUGGAAGAGAGAAGUGGAAUUCUCGGAGUAGCGGUAAAAUGCGUAGAUCUCGAGAGGAACACCGAUGGCGAAGGCAGCUUCUUGGUCCACUCCUGACGUUGAGACACGAAAGCGUGGGGAGCAAACAGGAUUAGAUACCCUGGUAGUCCACGCUGUAAACGAUGAUCACUAGACGUUAGUUCCGCUUAGCGGGAUUAGUGUCGCAGCUAACGCGAUAAGUGAUCCGCCUGGGGACUACGGUCGCAAGAUUAAA
rnacentral:rRNA from 1 species